rnacentral:misc_RNA from 1 species
GAUGAAGAACGCAGCGAAAUGCGAUAAGUAAUGUGAAUUGCAGAAUUCAGUGAAUCAUCGAAUCUUUGAACGCACAUUGCGCCCCUUGGUAUUCCGAGGGGCAUGCCUGUUCGAGCGUCAUUAUAACCCCUCAAGCUCAGCUUGGUGUUGGGGCCUGCUGCACUGGCAGCCCUUAAAAUCAGUGGCGGCGCCAUCUGGCUCUAAGCGUAGUAAUUCUUCUCGCUAUGGAGUCCUGGUGGAUGCUUGCCAUCAACCCCCAAUUUUUCUAUAGUUGACCUCGGAUCAGGUAGGGAUACCCGCUGAACUUAAGCAUAUCAAUAAGCGGAGGA